UACAUGGGGUGCAAACGUUGCUCGGAAUCAUUGGGCGUAAAGCGCGCGUAGGCGGUUACUUAAGUUGGAUGUGAAAGCCCUCGGCUUAACUGAGGAAGUGCAUCCAAAACUGAGUAGCUAGAGUACGAAAGAGGGUCGCGGAAUUCCCGGUGUAGAGGUGAAAUUCGUAGAUAUCGGGAGGAACACCGGUGGCGAAGGCGGCCUUCUGGUCGGAUACUGACGCUAAAACGCGAAAGCGUGGGGAGCAAACAGG
rnacentral:rRNA from 1 species